rnacentral:rRNA from 1 species
UGAGCCUACGGGAGGCAGCAGCGAGGAAUAUUGGUCAAUGGCCGAGAGGCUGAACCAGCCAAGUCGCGUGAGGGAUGACGGCCCUACGGGUUGUAAACCUCUUUUGCCGGGGAGCAACGGGGUCCUUGCGAGGGCCCGAUGAGAGUACCCGGGGAAAAAGCAUCGGCUAACUCCGUGCCAGCAGCCGCGGUAAUACGGAGGAUGCGAGCGUUAUCCGGAUUUAUUGGGUUUAAAGGGUGCGUAGGCGGGCUGUUAAGUCAGCGGUCAAAUGUCGGGGCUCAACCCCGGCCUGCCGUUGAAACUGG